UGAAGCUGGAUUCGCUAGUAAUCGCGCAUCAGCCAUGGCGCGGUGAAUACGUUCCCGGGCCUUGUACACACCGCCCGUCAAGCCAUGAAAGCCGGGGGCGCUUGAAGUCCGUGACCGCAAGGAUCGGCCUAGAGCGAAACUGGUAAUUGGGGCUAAGUCGUAACAAGGUAGCCGUACCGGAAGGUGCGGCUGGAACACCUCCUUU
rnacentral:ncRNA from 1 species